rnacentral:snoRNA from 1 species
UGCCUUUAUUUGUUGCCUAUUCAUUGCUCUCUACAGUGAAUACGGUGUCAACAAAGGCAUACAGCAAUUCUUGUAUCGGCCUUAGCAAGGUUUCUCUCUGGUUACCUUGUUCUAAGUUCUGUACCAAGUACAACU